AUUCUGACAGUAACUGAAAGCCACAGUAGGUUGUCCUCUUCUGUGGACCAGCCACUAGAGCUAUAUUACAGAACAAAUCUCCAAGACAAUUCAGCUCCUCUGGAAAAACCUCAGGAUGAAGCAUGUGAGAAUCUGUGACAAAACGUUCAAGGCUGUGGAACAAACUUCAAGAGAUGAAACUAAUCCAGAGUUGUCUCACAUUUAGGUUUGACUGACAGACCUUUCUUUUAGAUAAGUUUCCCACUAUAUUUGGAAUAUUUACAACUACCACCCUCAUCUCCUACCACUAACAUAAAAAAUCUACACAAAGCAGAGUGUCCUAUAACCAGAGAAGGGAAAGGAGCUUGAAGACUCUGUUAAAGACUCUGCUUGGCCUUUGCAAUAGAAAUCUAACCUGGAAGAUGAAUGUUUUAUGGUGGUAAACACCUGUGCAAGAACCUAGAGAGACUAUUUUUCUACUACUGAAUUGAAAAGAAGACUCACCUUGAGGCCUGUCUCAACAGGACCCUGUAGAUUGAGAUAGGUACACUUGUAGAACGUGAUUUGAGAACUGGCUGUCCUGAUCACUAAUAUUACUUAGAAAUGUCACCACUCCAUAUUCUCCAACAUCUGGAUAAAAUACCAAAUUCCAUUCAAGGAUUAUGUGAGCGUACAGUAGUCAGAAAUACAGUAUAUUCAGCCAUCACACAUUCUUUUUUUGCUGUCUGGCAAUCAACAUACAAGACUAGGAACAAAAGAGGGGUGGAGACAAAUGGUUAAAAUAUAAAACAAAAUAAUAAAACUUAAACCUGAGUCUACACUGA